CAGACGCCCAACUGUGGAGAGGCCACCCCCAGUUAUGCGGCAGACAACUAUUCCCACUGGGGUGGCCCUCCCAGAGAGAAACCCCACUGCUGCGGAGCCUGUCGCUGCCCAGGACACGGCGCCCCUCGCGGCCGUACCUAUUGAACAUGUUCCUGGGCAGCAGAGGAGGAAAAGGGCCUGCUCCAGCAAGGAAGUUGACUUCCUCGACACCAGUUCAGAGGAGCCAGUAAGGGAGCUGCUGGAGGCUCUCCCUCCGGAAACAGCUGCGGUGGCGGUGGUCCACAGCAAGUAUUGGACCGAAGAGUGGAGGGACCACACCGCCUCCUGCACUGCUGAAGACUUGGUGGCGGCGAACAGCGCCUGCGUGGCCCGGGCACUAAGCACGAGUAUCCAACUCGAGGGCUUGGUGAAGGAUCUAAACUCCAAGAGGGAGGACCUCGCCAAGCGCCUCGAGGAGGCAAUGCAUUACGGGGACGCUGUGCGAGCUGCCCAGGCCAAAGCUGCCAAGGCAGAGGAGGAAAAGAGAGCUGCUGAGGUCCAGCUCGCUGCUUCGCAGGCGGAGGUGGAGCGGCUGAAAAAAGAGCUCUAUGAGGUGGAAUGCCAGGUGGCUGUGGUGACUCGGCGGCUUGACCACGCUAAUGAGCACCACAAGCUUGCCACCGAUGCCCUGGAGGCCUCCAACAGAGAAAAAGCGGAGCUGAAGCAGCAUGCAGAGGCCCAGUCAGUGGAGAUUGCCUCUCUGAGGGAGGAGUUAAAGUCUGCGGGGGAGGUGGCGGUUCAAAAUUUUAUUGAUCACUUCGAGGACCAUCCCCUUUAUGACGACUUUGCCAACUUCUGGGCCUCGUGGAGUGCCCAAAGCCUAUUGGGUCGGCUGAAGGAGGUGCACCCCACACUGGACAUCUCUCAACUAGAGGCAGAGUUCGGGGGACCCACUGGAGGCCGGCCUGACAAGGUUACCGAGGAGGUUCCAGAGGCCCAGGAGGCGGCCAGUGCUGAAGUUCCUCCCACAGAUUAGGGUUUCCUUUGUAAUGGCUUCGGCCC
rnacentral:lncRNA from 1 species